UUAGAAAAGAAGCCAGCCUAGGCUGUAAAAAGCCAUAAGAGACACUAACCACACCCUAACAUUAUACCAAUUCAACUCGUGAAAGCCGGGACACAAACUAAGAUUAGAUACCUUACUAUGCCCAGCCAUAACACAACAAUUAAAUUACAAAUUGUUCGCCAAAUAACUACGAGUAAAAACUUAAAAUUUAAAAGACUUGACGGUAUCUCACAUCAACCUAGAGGAGCCUGUCUAUUAACCGAUACUCCACGAUUAACCCAACCCAAGCUAGCCCUACAGUCUAUAUACCGCCGUCGCCAGCUUACCUUAUGAAAGAAACAAAGUGAGCAAGACAGUCACACACUAAUACGACAGGUCGAGGUGUAACUAAUGCAGGGGUCAAAGAUGGGCUACAUUUUCUAAUACAGAAAACACGAAUAAAAUAUGAAACUAAAAACUGAAGGCGGAUUUAGCAGUAAUAUAAGAACAAAACACUUAAAUGAAACUAAAGCAAUGAGAUGCGUACACACCGCCCGUCAUCCCUGUCAACAAAACUAACAAUAAAAUAUACCAUAAAAAACCUUAAAGCAGGGCAAGUCGUAACAUGG
rnacentral:rRNA from 1 species